GCACACGAACGCACAAAACGAAGAGUUUCCAGCUACCUUUAUCUUUAUACAAUUUCUGCAAGUAUAUAUAUAUAUAUCGCCUUUUCUUCUGCACAGAAGAAAGAUUGAUUUCACUUAAUUCUCGCUCGAAAAGUCCUUUCCUUUGUAGUUGUACUUCUAGCUAAGAGCUUAAACAGUUCGGUUUGAUUAAUCUUUACAAUCUCAUUAACAAGUGGCUUCGAUUUACAUAAUUAGAAUAGCAUUUGCUUAGAACUACAAUUGGAGAGGCUUCGAAUUGUCCGAUUUCUUCUUCUUUUCAAUUUACUUUGACAGUUCAAAACUUCGCAACAAGGAAGCUUAUAGAGAACUUCAAUUCGCAUACAGUAUUCUAUCUUUUCUGCCUUGUACUAAACCGAUGUCUGUCCAGAAAAUCUUUUGCUUGGGGUUACUCUUCAAUCGUUAGAGAACGUUUGAAUAAAAUACAACUGUUCUCAAAAAUUUCG